rnacentral:rRNA from 2 species
GUCGAGCGAACAGAUAAGGAGCUUGCUCCUUUGACGUUAGCGGCGGACGGGUGAGUAACACGUGGAUAACCUACCUAUAAGACUGGGAUAACUUCGGGAAACCGGAGCUAAUACCGGAUAACAUAUUGAACCGCAUGGUUCAAUAGUGAAAGGCGGCUUUGCUGUCACUUAUAGAUGGAUCCGCGCCGUAUUAGCUAGUUGGUAAGGUAACGGCUUACCAAGGCAACGAUACGUAGCCGACCUGAGAGGGUGAUCGGCCACACUGGAACUGAGACACGGUCCAGACUCCUACGGGAGGCAGCAGUAGGGAAUCUUCCGCAAUGGGCGAAAGCCUGACGGAGCAACGCCGCGUGAGUGAUGAAGGUCUUCGGAUCGUAAAACUCUGUUAUCAGGGAAGAACAAAUGUGUAAGUAACUGUGCACAUCUUGACGGUACCUGAUCAGAAAGCCACGGCUAACUACGUGCCAGCAGCCGCGGUAAUACGUAGGUGGCAAGCGUUAUCCGGAAUUAUUGGGCGUAAAGCGCGCGUAGGCGGUUUUUUAAGUCUGAUGUGAAAGCCCACGGCUCAACCGUGGA